UACGAAGGGGGCUAGCGUUGCUCGGAAUCACUGGGCGUAAAGCGCACGUAGGCGGCUUUCUAAGUCAGGGGUGAAAUCCCAGGGCUCAACCCUGGAACUGCCUUUGAUACUGUCGAUCUGGAGUAUGGAAGAGGUGAGUGGAAUUCCGAGUGUAGAGGUGAAAUUCGUAGAUAUUCGGAGGAACACCAGUGGCGAAGGCGGCUCACUGGUCCAUUACUGACGCUGAGGUGCGAAAGCGUGGGGAGCAAACAGG
rnacentral:rRNA from 1 species